UUGUAGUACUAUUUUGCACAAUUUAUUUUUGACAGCCUUAUAACCAAUAUGCAUGCCAAAAGUCUUUCUUUAUUAUACUUUGUCGUCAGUCAAACACCGUCAUAUAAAAUGAAACAAAAUGAUAUAGUUUUUCAAACAUGAAAUUAAGCCCUUUUUAAUCAGCAUCCAACUAAAUUUAAGAAAUGCAACUUUCAGGAGUUGCAACGUAUGAUUGCCUCGAAAGCUGCAUACUGAACAGUUAGUCCUGUGACAAUGAAAAUACCACUAGCAGAGGUGUUACAGAUUCCUUAUAUGAUGAUAUCUGGCAAAAAUGCUUUUAGAUCAUUCUGUUAUAAUGGAAAUUUCUCUUCAAGCCCUCAACAUUUUUAUGUGAAAGAAAAACCUAUUUAUAUACAACACAAUUUUCAGAUGUCAAAACCAUGAAAGAAAGAUUUGCAAAGUUGUUGCUCGGGGAAAAUGUGAUCGGAGGAAGCAAGGGGGUUUCCACUGCAUUAGCAUUGUCCAACGCCAUUACAUAUCUUGCAGUUUGUGUGGCAGUUGUUUGGAUCAAAGCCGCUUAAGUGUUAUGUGAGGCUGCCAUACAUUACUUAUGCAUCCACGUGGGCCGACUAGUGUGAAAUGCUCCUGCUGUCAUUGUCCCAGGUGGUAGGUAUUGGCUUUGACAUUUGGUUUUCAUCAUAGGCAGUUUCACAGCAACAACUACAUCUCCUAUUGUAGAAUUUAUAAAUAUUAUCUCUAGCGAUGUAAGGGGUUGUUUGGUUUGAAAAUAGGUUAUACCGGGAUUAGUUAUGCUGGGAUAAGUUGUGAUAGAAUAAGUUAU